rnacentral:rRNA from 1 species
AGGAUGAACGCUGGCGGCGUGCUUAACACAUGCAAGUCGAGCGCCCAGCAAUGGGAGCGGCGGACGGGUGAGUAACACGUGGGAACAUGCCUUUCGGUACGGAACAACUUCGGGAAACUGAAGCUAAUGCCGUAUACGCCCUUACGGGGAAAGAUUUAUCGCCGAAAGAUUGGCCCGCGUCUGAUUAGCUAGUUGGUGAGGUAACGGCUCACCAAGGCUUCGAUCAGUAGCUGGUUUGAGAGAACGACCAGCCACACUGGGACUGAGACACGGCCCAGACUCCUACGGGAGGCAGCAGUGGGGAAUCUUGGACAAUGGAGGAAACUCUGAUCCAGCCAUGCCGCGUGAGUGAUGAAGGCCUUCGGUUGUAAACUCUUUACCGGAAGAUAAUGACUGUACCGGGAGAAUAAGCUCCGGCUAACUUCGCGCCAGCAGCCGC